rnacentral:rRNA from 1 species
UAGGGAAUAUUGGACAAUGGGGGAAACCCUGAUCCAGCGACGCCGCGUGAGGGAUGACGGCCUUCGGGUUGUAAACCUCUGUUGUUGGGAAAGAAGCCGCCCGCAAGGGCGGUGACGGUACCCAACGAGGAAGCCCCGGCUAACUACGUGCCAGCAGCCGCGGUGAGACGUAGGGGGCGAGCGUUGUCCGGAAUCACUGGGCGUAAAGGGCGCGUAGGCGGUUACGUAAGUCCGGCGUGAAAUGCCACGGCUCAACCGUGGAAUGCCGUCGGAUACUGCGUUGACUUGAGGACGGUAGAGGCAGAUGGAACUAGCGGUGUAGCGGUGAAAUGCACAGAUAUCGCUAGGAACGCCGGUGGCGAAGGCGAUCUGCUGGGCCGUUCCUGACGCUGAGGCGCGAAAGCUAGGGGAGCGAACCGG